CUGCGAAGGGGGGACGGAGAAGGCUAUGUUAGCCGGGCGACGGUUGUCCCGGUUUAAGCAUGUAGGCUGAUUGUCCAGGCAAAUCCGGAUAAUCAAGGCAGAGGUGUGAUGACGAGGCACUACGGUGCUGAGGUAACAAAUGCCCUGCUGCCAGGCAAAGCCUCUAAGCAUCAGGUAACAUGAAAUCGUACCCCACACCGACGCUGCUGGUCAGGCAGCGAAUACCAAGGCGCUCGAGAGAACUCGGGUGAAGGAACUCGGCAAAAUGGGUCCGUAACUAGGGGAGAGGGCACGCUGGUGAGCAGGGGAAGUCCCUG
rnacentral:rRNA from 1 species